GAUGGUGGCGCAAUGGUAGCGCAGUGGACUCCAGUUCCAGGAAAUCCAAAGGCUGUCGGUUCGAAUCCGGUUCAU
rnacentral:tRNA from 1 species